rnacentral:rRNA from 1 species
AGUGAACGCUGGCGGUAGGCCUAACACAUGCAAGUCGAACGGCAGCACAGUAAGAGCUUGCUCUUACGGGUGGCGAGUGGCGGACGGGUGAGGAAUACAUCGGAAUCUACUUUUUCGUGGGGGAUAACGUAGGGAAACUUACGCUAAUACCGCAUACGACCUACGGGUGAAAGCAGGGGAUCUUCGGACCUUGCGCGAUUGAAUGAGCCGAUGUCGGAUUAGCUAGUUGGCGGGGUAAAGGCCCACCAAGGCGACGAUCCGUAGCUGGUCUGAGAGGAUGAUCAGCCACACUGGAACUGAGACACGGUCCAGACUCCUACGGGAGGCAGCAGUGGGGAAUAUUGGACAAUGGGCGCAAGCCUGAUCCAGCCAUACCGCGUGGGUGAAGAAGGCCUUCGGGUUGUAAAGCCCUUUUGUUGGGAAAGAAAAGCAGCAGGUUAAGACCCCGCUGUUCUGACGGUACCCAAGAAUAAGCACCGGCUAACUUCGUG